AGAAAAGCAUAAGUUUGAAAUGUUGUAAUAAUUCAUGCCCUUGUCAGGAUAAGCACAUCGACACCUGAGACACUAUUUGCUACAUGAUGAAAUAUAUUUUGGAAACAAUGCCGGGAAAUUGAUGUGUAAUGGGACCAGUGAACUGAAGCCUAGUGCCGACUUUGGCUGUACAUAUCAAUAAACGAAGGUUGUGUGGGAGUGGUUUAUGUUUGUGUAUUAAUGGUUUGUGGAAUUAUGUUUGUUUCUGACUUAUGUACGAUAAAUUAAAUUAUGAUACUCAUGUAUUAAAUAUUAGAGACACUUAAUAUGUAAAAUAAAUAGAGUUGAGAAACUGUUUUAUUA